rnacentral:rRNA from 1 species
CCUAAGGAGGAAGAUCUGACGUUACUUAGGAGAUGAAGCAUCGGCUAACUCCGUGCCAGCAGCCGCGGUAAGACGGAGGAUGCAAGUGUUAUCCGGAAUCACUGGGCGUAAAGCGUCUGCAGGUGGUUUCUUAAGUCCACUGUUAAACCUUGAGGCUCAACCUCAAAUCAGCAUUGGAAACUAGGAAACUUGAGUAUAGUAGGGGUAGAGGGAAUUUCCAGUGGAGCGGUGAAAUGCGUAGAUAUUGG